UUUGCCUGUGAUGCAAUAGAAUUUACUUAUUAUCAGAAGAUUCUUAUGAUGAUAUCAAUCUUAUUGUCACUACCUCUGAGGCAAA
rnacentral:sRNA from 1 species